rnacentral:sRNA from 2 species
GGGCAGCCAUCGCCGAGUCCCCGUACGGCGCGAGCCAGGGGAGCCGGGGACCCAUAUGUCCCUUGGGGUGAAUCGGACUCCUCUCCGAGGAGUCCGUAGGAGACCUUCCUGCUCCGAACCCGUCAGCUAACCCGGUAGGCGAGAAGGAGGGAAAGG